rfam:Myotis lucifugus cont2.7936, whole genome shotgun sequence.
AGGUCUGGAGAGAGAAGUGGGGUCUGAUCCAUAGCCUCUGUGGCAGCUAUUGAUCAACCCUUGCCUCUCUCUUUCUCUCCC